rnacentral:lncRNA from 1 species
CUUCAAAGCACAAAAAUUAGCUGCCCCAGCCAACUUUCUCUUGGAUGAAGUGAUACCUCCUACUACACCACCGUAUCUGAGCCAGUUUCCGCCAAACAACCAGCAGCUAAUUUAGGUCAGCUUUCACAAAGCUGUGACCUUGGUGCAGCCUUUGGAAAAGUGAAGGGAGAUACAGGUGCAUCGGUCUACAGACCUGAGUCAGGCGAUGCUACAUUAGCAGCCCCAGCGACCGUCUUAUCUUAUGCCUCAGUGGCAAAGUAAAAUGAGCGUAAGUCAAUUAUACCCAGGUUACAUGCUCAAGUCUCCAAACAGGUCAACUGCUGUCCUCAGCUUUCAAGGCAGCCAGGGUGUCAACAUUCAAUGUAAAGAGAAGAACAUUGGUGCUCUUCCAGAGGACUGCGUUUUGUUCCCAGGACCUACAUCAGGUGGCUCAUAAUUGCCUGUCACUCCAAUUUCUGGAGAUGUGAUGCCCUCUCUUGGGCUCUGCAAGUACUGGCAUGCAACACACACACACACACACACACACACACACACACACACACACACACACACACACCAAUACAUAAAAAACCCUCCCCUGAAGGCUCAAUGAUCUGUGCAGAAGAGAAGGUGGAAAUACCAUUGAGAGUUAGAGAGGACGGGAAACUCCAAGGAAACAGUGUCACCCAGACACAACAAGACUGAUGCACCUAUUUUGCACCAGGCUGCAAGGGCUCACGCCAGACUGAAUCCUAACACUGAAAGGGGGAAACAGACACAGGCUCCCACCCCUAACCAAGAAGCUCUCUGCAAUUAGUACCCAGUUGCAAAGGAAAAAUGAGUUUUCUUCAAUGUUCUCCUUGGAAUGUGAGCUACACUUCAGGGUAGCAGGAGAUGGCGACACAACAUGCGAUCAGUGGUAUUUUUGUGGACUUUGUGUCUCAAACCGCUUUGUUUGGAAAUCUUAUGUCUUACUGGUCUUUUGCUAGUAGGUUUUGGUUUCCAUUAUUCUUGUGUUUGUGUGUAUUCGUGUCCCUUUUUUGUUGCUGUUGUUUUUUUGUUUGUUUUGCUUGCUUUUUUUUUUUUUUUUUUUUUUUUUUUUGUCAAAAGAUAAGGAGCAUGGAGUUGGAUCCAUGGGGAUGUGGGGAGGAACUGGG